rnacentral:rRNA from 1 species
AAUGAAGGAGGGUUGUUCGGGGGAGAACGUACUUGGGCGUGAGUGGUGAAAUACUUAGACCGCCCAAAGACGAACUACAGCGAAGGCAUUCUCCAAGGAUACCUUCCUCAAUCAAGAACCAAAGUGUGGAGAUCGAAGAUGAUUAGAGACCAUUGUAGUCCACACCACAAACGGUGACACCCAUGAAUUGGGGAGUAUUUGGUAAGCGGUGUGAGCUGGGUUCGUCCCAGUCUCCGCCCUUCCAAAAGAAAUCAAUUUACGUGCAUAUUCAAAAAGGGCUUCGGUCCGACAACGGGAAUAUCCUCAGCACGUUCUCUGACUGUUUCACGCGAAAGCUUUGAGGUUACAGUCUCAGGGGGGAGUACGUUCGCAAGAGUGAAACUUAAAGAAAUUGACGGAAUGGCACCACAAGAUGUGGAGCGUGCGGUUUAAUUUGACUCAACACGGGGAACUUUACCAGAUCCGGACAGGGUGAGGAUUGA